rnacentral:rRNA from 1 species
AUGGCCUUAGUUCUAAAGUAUGGCAAGCCGGACGUCUUCCUCACAAUGACAUGCAACCCAAACUGGGAUGAGAUUAGGCAGGAACUCUACCCCGGUCAGACACCUCAGGAUCGUCCCGAUCUCGUUGUUCGUGUUUUUAGGGCAAAGUUGGAGGAACUCAAGAAUAAGUUGCUUCAGAAGGACAUCCUGGGCAAGGUGAGGGCUUAUGUUUAUGUGGUGGAAUUCCAGAAGAGGGGUCUGCCUCAUGCACACUUCCUUCUCAUCAUGGAGGGGCGGUACAAGCUCACAUGCCCUGAGCAAUAUGACCGUCUUAUCUCAGCCGAGCUCCCAAACAAGAAGAAGCACACAUAA